rnacentral:rRNA from 1 species
UACAGGGGGGGCAAGCGUUGUUCGGAAUCACUGGGCGUAAAGGGCGCGUAGGCGGCUGAAUAAGUGGGAUGUUAAAUCCCCGGGCUCAACCCGGGACCUGCAUCUCAUACUGUUCAGCUCGAGCACAUCAGAGGAGACUGGAAUUCCCGGUGUAGCGGUGAAAUGCGUAGAUAUCAGGAGGAAUACCGAUGGCGAAGGCAGGUCUCUGGGCUGACACUGACGCUCAUGCACGAAAGCGUGGGGAGCAAACAGG